GCUUUAUUUAUUUCUACUUCCCCCAAAGCUCGGAAACAGCCAGAUGUAUUUUGUCCAGGCUGUCCCAAAAGGUUCCUGAUAAGGAAGAGCCCCAAAUUGGAUCAUCUGCUGGGUGACUUUGAAUGCUGUGACUGAUGCAGCAGGAGAGCACAGAUACAGCUGGGUUGGUACCCCAAAAGCAAGCCAUGGGCAGACACAACCAUUGGGAUGCCUCAUAGGGUCUCCAUCUGGCACAGUGGGGCCUUGUCAUCCGUAGGGAGCACACAUCAUAGAAAGACAGAAUCAUAGAAUGGCUUAGAUUGGAAGGGACCUUAAAGAUUGUUUAGUUCCAACCCCCUUGCCAUGGGUGAGAUUGCCAACCCAGGGUCUUUGGGCAGCUCAUGAUGGAUGAGGGGCAGACACAUGAAACCCACUUUUUCCCAUUUGAACUGAAACAUAGGGCCAGCACCUCACUCAUCUUCAUUUCCUAGAUUGCUGGACUGGUCUCCAAACCACAGAAAUCUCACACUUGGGUAGGACACAAACCCUUUUCCACCAGGUUGUUUUGCAGAGGAAGAAGAUGUGGGAGAUGGAGACUGUCAUCUCAACCUUUUAUUGGUGCCAGCUCCCUGCAAACACAGAUGUAUAGGUGAAUUGUUGAAGCAAUGGGGACUCACCAGCCACUGUUUAGAUGCAUGGCCAUGAAACAGGCACUUCUUCAUGGAAAAGCAGUGGAGAAGUGUUGCAGAGCACGAGGGAUGGAAAAAAAAUAAAGCACAACAAAAUAAACCUCACAGCAAGACAUGAGAUGGAAUGGGCACCUUCCGUGUGCUGCUGCCCAUCUUGGCAAGGAGGACAGCAGAUGUCUCACUGCAUCAGACAGAGGAGGAAUCACAGGAAAGCAGCAAGGUAGGUGCAUCUUGGGGUCCUGGCUCCCAGGGAUGCUUCGCAGAGGUCGCCAUGGAAACCCAACGCUGCAGAAAUCGGAGCUUCGCUAGGAGAAACCCGCACAAAACCCCCCAGCUCCAGCCAGGGAUGGUGUGGAAUAGGGAUGUGCUGGGAGGCUGGAGGCACAAAGCAGAUUUAACUCAUUUACCGACCCUCCAAACCAACAGCGAGCUGUCUCCCAAGUCUAGCCACAUUGGAGCAUCUUCAAGCAGAGCUCAGUGCCCACAGAGCUACAGAGGGAGGACAAGAGCCAGAAACACGGAUAAGGUCACCACAAGACUUUAAAAAAUGUAAAUGAAGCCCAAGGAGCUGGACUAAUCCUGCAAGCAAUGAGAUUAGCACAAGGUCCCCUUGGCGCAGGUUGAGCCCAUCUGCUUGGGAUUCCCCUUGAGAAGGAUGCCCCCAAGGACAGCACCAAGCCCACUGCUCCCAAGGGCACCUCUGGCACUAUCCCACUCCUGGUACAAGACGUACAAGCAAGGGGAAAGGAAAAAAAAUAAGAUGUGGUUUGGUCCCAAUCAGCAUUUUGGUCACAGAGCAUCACUGCUGAUGUUGCAUCCCUCGAAGGGAAAGGAAAGUGCAAGAGAAGCUGGAAAGCUCGAACCCAAGGCUUCGGGAGAAGGAUGAGCUUUGAUUUCAGAGUUUAUUCGGGAAGUCUCAGAAAAGCUGUAGAAAAAGUCAUGGAGCUCCAGCCCUGGAGCUUCUCUGAGCUCAAGCCCUGCUGCAGUUCUGCUCCUCAGUACCAGACGGCCAGGGCCAGGCACAGCUUCUUCAAUCCAGCAUCAUUAAUAAAGGUUUAUGCUUAAAAUGUGGCA
rnacentral:lncRNA from 1 species